GUUCUCUGCGCCUCGCCGUGCCGCCCCCCCCUCGUGGUGGAACGUGGUUAAAGACACGGACGGACCGAAACCAGGGGAUCGUUGUGACCCCGGUCCAGUAGAUCCAGAAAGAGAAUCGGACGCAUUUCCUCCUGAUGAUACUUUGAAGGGAGCAGGAAUGACAAAUUUCCCUACAGCGUACUGUGAUGUCUUAGAGCAGUGCAGAAAAGAAGCAAUAUUAAGGGGUGAUGCUGACACGUUGCAAGCCUUUCCUGUGUUGUAUCAGCCGAAUCAGGCCCCCCGUUGGGAAUCCCUGCCUUAUGAGGCAGUGAAGGAGCUAAGGGAGUCAGUGAGAACAUACGGAGUUCAGUCAGCCUUUACAUACAAUCUUUUGGUUGCAAACAGUGACAGUUACGCUAUGACCCCUCACGAUUGGAAAACUGUGUUAAGAAUGAUCCUCCUACACAAUACACCGUGUUUAUGACUGAAUACCGGCUACAUAAUUUGACUGAUACCUCUUUGCCUCAAAUUGGGACAAAUCCAUGUGGCACAGCACCUCUUCAACUGUCAGACAAAUGUCACUCACGUUCCUGAAUUUGGCCGUCUAAAAUAUGCACAUGUAACAAUAGAUACUCACUCUUCUUACGUAUUUGCCACAGCACAUACAGGUGAAUGCAGUCAUGACACCCGUAAACACUGGUUAUCUGCUUAUGCUGCUAUGGGAAUCCCACAUACUACAAAAACAGAUAAUGGGCCUGUGUAUACCUCUAAGGCCACUCGAACUUUCCUCCAAGAAGGGGGUGUUAAACAUACUACAGCCAUUGCUCAUUCUCCCACUGGACAAGCUAUCACUGAGCACAUUUAUCAAACAUUGAAAUCCAUUCUUAUUAUUAUUAAACAAAAAAGGGGGAAUAUGGGAGACACACUACAAGAAAUAUUAUGCAAGGUUUUGCUUGUUUUGCUUGUGCUGAAGUUUUUGAAUCGUGUUCAUAGAGAUACAGCUUAUGUGGAUCGUCAUUUUGAGGCUUCCCCAGUGCUAAAGGAACAGCCUAUGGUUAAUGUUUGGAAUAUGGCCACAGGACUUUGGGACUGUCCCCUACCACUGACAACUUGGGGUCAUGAAUAUGCUCGUAUUUCCACAGGGACUGGCCCUACGUGGGUUCCAGCAUGAUAUGUUUGGUCUCAUCUGAAGGCAGAAAAUAGCAUCCAGCCUUUAUAGUAAUUGUAAUUGUGUGUUUCUAACUUAGUGGAGUUGCUUUGUAACUUGCUGUGUUAUAGAUAAUAUUAGUAAUAGUUUGACAUAGUGUGUGAUUUUCUGUUUUACCAAUGCAGUCUCAAGAAUUAGAGUUUAAGGCAUUAGCUAGGAUGUUGUGUGCUUCUUCUAUUUUAGUAAUAGAUCAGAUGUGUAUUAAACAGGAUUUGAUCUAAUCAAUGCUAGAAUCUACAGGAAUAGCUCUUUUAAUGUUUUAGUACUGUUUGGUUAUGAUGUUAUUAGCCUAUUAAUUAGCUUUUCUUAAUUUGCAAAGACAAAACCUGGAAAGGAAUCCCAGACAAAGAGAUGACCCUGUAUCAUAGAAUAGAUACCUCUCUUACAUCCAACUAAUUGGGAUUUUUGAAAUAUAACCAUGCAUCAUUUUAGACAAAAGUGCACGCUAAUAGAACUAAAUUUGAUAGUUUAUUCUGUUUUCCAAGCAGGUGUUCCACUUGGGCUCUAUAUCACGCACUGGCCAUGCGGAUGUGGUGUACAACUGGAAGAAAUCCUUCAGACCCUGAAUGCAGGAGAGAAUCUGUGAUGGGUGAGAGAGGAAAGGUGCACCUUGAAGCAGGGGACGCCCUGCUGGCACUACCUGUCGCAUCCACCACCAACAUGGCUUGCUGUUUCUCAAGGGUCAAUAAGUAAUAAUGCCCUUAGUGAUACUCUAGUACAUUUGUCCUCUAAAAUUGGUUCUAUUUGACAUGCUACUUCAUAAAAUUGUGCGAUCAUUAAUCAAUUAUUAGCCCGGAUAACUCAGUCAGUAGAGCAUGGUUAUGAGCAUCUUAAAAGCAUUUAUUGCACAAAUUUUAGUGGUCAUUAAAAAUCAAUAUAUCAGAGUAUAUGAAAAUUGAAGACUUUUCCUAAUCAGUUACAGAUUAACACAAUGGGACCCUCACAGAUUUAUUUUCAGGUUGCAGAAACUUAGGUUGCAGAGCAAACACAUUUGUCCUUUACAGCAGGUUUAACAGUAAUGUUGUUAAGUUGUAUUUGACUUGUCUCUUUUUUCACUUUUAGAGUAUUGUCAAUCGAGGCCUUGAUUGAGUUAUAAUAGUUAUGUUAUUAAUAUUAGUAGUGCUGUUAUUCUAUAGGCAGUAUCUUGAAAUUGUAAUACAAGAAGAAUUUUAUGGAGCAGCAGCCAUGGAUCGAGAUAAGGAGUUCACAGAGCAGCUACGGAGCAGGAUAAACAGCAUGAGAACUAAUUGAACAAAUGAACUGAAUUGCUUGUUAAAUAUGGUUAGUCGGUCGGUAAACUGAGCCUUUUCAGCCUAAAAGAAAACGGGGGAAAUGUAGAGAGUGUUUUUUACAGCUAGUUAGCUGAGAAGGGUCGUAAACACGGUGCAGUUAAUCAAGCAGCCAUAACACCUGCAAGGACAGUGAGAACAUCAGGAUGCCCUGUGAUGGUGAGAAACUAGCCAUGGUUCUGGGAACUCAGCAAGGGAGUAUCUUUCAGGAUGAUAACAACAAGCUGUUAAGAUACUCGGGGAUGGUAUGUAAUUGGGAACCAAUGAUGAGCUCCACUUUUGCAAUAUGUAUGAGCUAAUUAUCUGUAUUAUAAAUGUACACGCAGCCAAGGAAUAAACGAGAUUAGCUGAUCAUAUGUCAAUGACA